CCUACGGGCGGCAGCAGUGAGGAAUAUUGGUCAAUGGGCGGAAGCCUGAACCAGCCAAGUAGCGUGCAGGAUGACGGCCCUACGGGUUGUAAACUGCUUUUAUACGGGAAUAACGCGCCUUACGUGUAGGGCUUUGCAUGUACCGUAUGAAUAAGGACCGGCUAAUUCCGUGCCAGCAGCCGCGGUAAUACGGAAGGUCCGGGCGUUAUCCGGAUUUAUUGGGUUUAAAGGGAGCGUAGGCCGGAUGUCAAGCGUGCUGUGAAAUGUCCGGGGCCAACCCGGGCCUUGCAGCGCGAACUGGGGUGCUUGAGUCCGCGGAAAGCAGGCGGAAUUCGUGGUGUAGCGGUGAAAUGCGUAGAUAUGACGAAGAACCCCGAUUGCGAAGGCAGCUUGCUGCAGCGGAACUGACGCUGAUGCUCGAAAGCGUGGGUAUCGAACAGGAUUAGAUACCCGAGUAGUC
rnacentral:rRNA from 1 species